rnacentral:miRNA from 1 species
AUUAAAUUUGGCAUAGAUCUUUAG